GGGGCCAGGUGGUGUAGUGGUAGCCACUUGGUGUUGGAGAAGGUGCAUUUUGCACUCAAUGAAGUCGCAGGUUUGAAUCCUGCUGGCCCCC